rnacentral:rRNA from 1 species
UACGGAGGAUCCAAGCGUUAUCCGGAAUCAUUGGGUUUAAAGGGUCCGUAGGCGGUCUGGUAAGUCAGUGGUGAAAGCCCAUCGCUCAACGGUGGAACGGCCAUUGAUACUGCCAGACUUGAAUUAUCAGGAAGUAACUAGAAUAUGUAGUGUAGCGGUGAAAUGCUUAGAGAUUACAUGGAAUACCAAUUGCGAAGGCAGGUUACUACUGAUGGAUUGACGCUGAUGGACGAAAGCGUGGGUAGCGAACAGG